CCCUGAAUUGGUAAUUUUAAGGAAAUUUUGCUGUUCUUGGUUAUUAUCUUGAACAUUAUUAUAGAUAGAGAUAAACUGUAAACAACAAUAAUGUUAAGCAAAGUAAGAUUAACAAAUAAGUCUACAUGACUGAAAUGGUCAGUUGACCCCUUUAGGAGUUAUUGCCCUUUAUAGUCAAUUUUUAACCAUUUUUCGUAAAUCUUAGUAAUCUUUUACAAAAAUCUUCUCCUCUGAAACUACUUGGCCAAAUUAAUCCAAACUUGGCCACAAUCAUCUUUUGGGUUAGUAGUUUGAAAAAUGUGUCCAGUGACCCGGCCAUCCAACCAAGAUGGCCGCCAUGGCUGAAAAUAGAACAUGGGGUAAAAUGCAGUUUUUGGCUUAUAACUCAAAACCCAAACCAUUUAGAGCAAAUCUGACAUGGGGUAAAAUUGUUUAUCAGGUCAACAUUUAUCUGCUCUGAAAUUUUUAGAUGAAUCGGACAACCCGUUGUUGGGUUGCUGACCCUGAAUUGUUGUAGUUUUAAGGAAAUUUUGCUGUUUUUGGUCAUUAUCUUGAAUAUUAUUAUUGAUAGAGAUAAACUGUAAACAACAAUAAUGUUCAGCAAAGUAAGAUUUACAAAUAAGUCAACAUGACCGAAAUGGUCAAUUGACCCCCUUAGGAGUUAUUGUUCUUUAUAGUAAAUUUUUAACAAUUUUCAUAAAAUUUGUAAAUUUUUACUAACAUUUUCCACUGAAACUAAUGGGCCAAGUUCAUUAUAGAUAGAGAUAAUUUUAAGCAGCAAGAAUGUUCAGUAAAGUAAGAUGUACAAACACAUCACCAUCACCAAAACACAAUUUUGUCAUGAAUCCAUCUGCUUCCUUUAAUAUUCACAUAGACCAAGGUGAGCGACAGAGGCUCUUUAGAGCCUCUAGUUUUGUUAUUAUCUUGAAUAUUAUUAUAGAUAGAGAUAAACUGUAAACAGCAAUAAUGUACAGCAAAGUAAGAAC
rnacentral:lncRNA from 1 species